rnacentral:rRNA from 1 species
GCACCCGCACAAGCGGUGGAGCAUGCUGUUUAAUUCGAAGAUACGCGAAAAACCUUACCUAGGCUUGACAUCCCCGGCAAAGCUAUAGAGAUAUAGUGGAGGCUAUCCGGGUGACAGGUGGUGCAUGGUUGUCGUCAGCUCGUGUCGUGAGAUGUUCGGUUAAGUCCGAUAACGAGCGCAACCCUUGUCGUUAGUUGCUAACAUUUAGUUGAGAACUCUAACGAUACUGCCGGUGACAAACCGGAGGAAGGUGGGGAUGACGUCAAAUCAUCAUGCCCCUUACGUCUAGGGCUACAGGCGUGCUACAAUGGCCGAAACAAUGAGAAGCAAAGCUGUGAAGCGGAGCAAAUCUCUAAAAUCGGUCUCAGUUCGGAUUGAAGUCUGCAACUCGACUUCAUGAAGUUGGAAUCGCUAGUAAUCGUGGAUCAGAAUUGCCACGGUGAAUACGUUCCCGGGUGUU